rnacentral:rRNA from 1 species
AUUGAACGCUGGCGGCAUGCUUUACACAUGCAAGUCGAACGGCAGCGCGGGCUUCGGCCUGGCGGCGAGUGGCGAACGGGUGAGUAAUGCAUCGGAACGUGCCCAGUAGUGGGGGAUAGCCCGGCGAAAGCCGGAUUAAUACCGCAUACGACCUGUGGGUGAAAGCGGGGGACCGAAAGGCCUCGCGCUAUUGGAGCGGCCGAUGUCGGAUUAGCUAGUUGGUGGGGUAAAGGCUUACCAAGGCGACGAUCCGUAGCUGGUCUGAGAGGACGACCGGCCAAACUGGGACUGAGACACGGCCCAGACUCCUACGGGAGGCAGCAGUGGGGAAUUUUGGACAAUGGGGGCAACCCUGAUCCAGCCAUGCCGCGUGCGGGAAGAAGGCCUUCGGGUUGUAAACCGCUUUUGUUCGGGAAGAAAUCCUCUGGGCUAAUACCCCGGGGGGAUGACGGUACCGGAAGAAUAAGCACCGGCUAACUACGUG